CGACUCACUAACUCACUUCUCUAGUGACCACACUUAACUAUAUUCAAAACACAAGUCCACCUUUCAAGUAACUACACUUAAGCAUUUUUGACUCACUAAUGCACUUUUCAAGUGACCACACUUAACUAUAUUCAAAACACAAGUCCACAUUUCAAGUACCUGCACUUAAACAUUUUCGACUCGCUAACGCACUUCUCUAGUAACCACACUUAACUAGAUUUAAAACACAAGUUCACCUUCCAAGUAACUAUACUUAAAUAUUUUUGAUUCACUAACUCACUUCUCAAGUAACCACACUUAAACUAAAUUCAAAACACAAGUCCACAUUUCAAGUACCUACACUUAAACAUUUUCGACUCACUAACUCACUUCUCUAGUGACCACACUUAACUAUAUUCAAAAUACAAGUCCACAUUUUAAGUACCUACACUUAAACAUUUUCGACUCACUAACUCACUUCUCUAGUGACCACACUUAACU
rnacentral:lncRNA from 1 species